UACGUAGGGUGCAAGCGUUAAUCGGAAUUACUGGGCGUAAAGCGUGCGCAGGCGGUUGUGCAAGACCGAUGUGAAAUCCCCGGGCUUAACCUGGGAAUGGCAUUGGUGACUGCACGGCUAGAGUGUGUCAGAGGGGGGUAGAAUUCCACGUGUAGCAGUGAAAUGCGUAGAGAUGUGGAGGAAUACCGAUGGCGAAGGCAGCCCCCUGGGCCAAUACUGACGCUCAUGCACGAAAGCGUGGGGGAGCAAAACAGG
rnacentral:rRNA from 1 species